CCAAGUUUUUAAGGGCGCACGGUGGAUGCCUUGGCACCAGGAACCGAUGAAGGACGUGGGAGGCCACGAUAGGCCCCGGGGAGUCGUCAACCAGGCUUUGAUCCGGGGGUGUCCGAAUGGGGAAACCCGGCAGUCGUCAUGGGCUGUCACCCUUGCCUGAACACAUAGGGCAAGUGGAGGGAACGCGGGGAAGUGAAACAUCUCAGUACCCGCAGGAAGAGAAAACAACCGUGAUUCCGGGAGUAGUGGCGAGCGAAACCGGAUGAGGCCAAACCGUAUGCGUGUGAGACCCGGCAGGGGUUGCGUAUACGGGGUUGUGGGAUCUCUCUUCUGUUGUCUGCCGGCAACAGGACGAGUCAGAAACCGUUGAUGUAGGCGAAGGACAUGCGAAAGGUCCGGCGUAGAGGGUAAGACCCCCGUAGCUGAAACAUUGACGGCUCGUUUGAGAGACACCCAAGUAGCACGGGGCCCGAGAAAUCCCGUGUGAAUCUGGCGGGACCACCCGCUAAGCCUAAAUAUUCCCUGGUGACCGAUAGCGGAUAGUACCGUGAGGGAAUGGUGAAAAGUACCGCGGGAGCGGAGUGAAAUAGUACCUGAAACCGUGUGCCUACAAGCCGUGGGAGCGUCGGACAUCAAGCUUGCUUGGUGUCUCGUGACUGCGUGCCUUUUGAAGAAUGAGCCUGCGAGUUUGCGGUGUGUUGCGAGGUUAACCCGGGUGGGGUAGCCGUAGCGAAAGCGAGUCCGAACAGGGCGUUUUAGUAGCACGCUCAAGACCCGAAGCGGAGUGAUCUAGCCAUGGGCAGGUUGAAGCGGAGGUAAGACUUCGUGGAGGACCGAACCCACCAGGGUUGAAAACCUGGGGGAUGACCUGUGGUUAGGGGUGAAAGGCCAAUCAAACUCCGUGAUAGCUGGUUCUCCCCGAAAUGCAUUUAGGUGCAGCGUCGUGUGUUUCUUGCCGGAGGUAGAGCACUGGAUAGGCGAUGGGCCCUACCGGGUUACUGACCUUAGCCAAACUCCGAAUGCCGGUAAGUGAGAGCGCGGCAGUGAGACUGUGGGGGAUAAGCUCCAUGGUCGAGAGGGAAACAGCCCAGAGCAUCGACUAAGGCCCCUAAGCGUACGCUAAGUGGGAAAGGAUGUGGAGUCGCAGAGACAACCAGGAGGUUGGCUUAGAAGCAGCCACCCUUGAAAGAGUGCGUAAUAGCUCACUGGUCUAGUGAUUCCGCGCCGACAAUGUAGCGGGGCUCAAGCGUACCGCCGAAGUCGUGUCAUUGCGAUAUAUACCCCCAACAGGGAUCGUGAUGGGUAGGGGAGCGUCGUGUGCCGGGUGAAGCAGCCGCGGAAGCGAGUUGUGGACGGUUCACGAGUGAGAAUGCAGGCAUGAGUAGCGAUACAAACGUGAGAAACGUUUGCGCCGAUUGACCAAGGGUUCCUGGGUCAAGCUGAUCUGCCCAGGGUAAGUCGGGACCUAAGGCGAGGCCGACAGGCGUAGUCGAUGGAUAACCGGUUGAUAUUCCGGUACCCGCUGUGAAGCGUCAAACAUUGAACCAGGCGAUGCUAAGUCCGUGAAGCCGUCCCGGAUCCUUCGGGUGAAGGGGAGUGGUGGAGCCGACGAACCAGACUUGCAGUAGGUGAGUGAUGGGGUGACGCAGGAAGGUAGUCCAUCCCGGGCGGUGGUUGUCCCGGGGUAAGGGUGUAGGCCGUGCGAUAGGUAAAUCCGUCGCACACAAGGCUGAGACCUGAUGCCGAGCCGAUUGUGGUGAAGUGGAUGAUCCUAUGCUGUCGAGAAAAGCCUCUAGCGAGUUUCAUGGCGGCCCGUACCCUAAACCGACUCAGGUGGUCUGGUAGAGAAUACCGAGGCGUUCGGGUGAACUAUGGUUAAGGAACUCGGCAAAAUGCCCCCGUAACUUCGGGAGAAGGGGGGCCAUCACUGGUGAUCCGAUUUACUCGGUGAGCUGGGGGUGGCCGCAGAGACCAGCGAGAAGCGACUGUUUACUAAAAACACAGGUCCGUGCGAAGCCGUGAGGCGGAGCGAAUCUCAAAAAGCCUGUCUCAGUUCGGAUUGGGGUCUGCAACUCGACCCCAUGAAGUCGGAGUUGCUAGUAAUCGCAGAUCAGCAUUGCUGCGGUGAAUACGUUCCCGGGCCUUGUACACACCGCCCGUCACGUCACGAAAGUCGGUAACACCCGAAGCCGGUGGCCCAACCCCUUGUGGGAGGGAGCUGUCGAAGGUGGGACUGGCGAUUGGGACGAAGUCGUAACAAGGUAGCCGUACCGGAAGGUGCGGCUGGAUCACCUCCUUUCUAAGGAGCAUCUAGAUCCCGCAAGGGAUCCAGAGCCACAACGUCGGCGAAUGUCCGACGGUGGUUAGCUCAUGGGUGGAACGUUGAUUAUUCGGCCGGUUUCACGGGUCGGAGGCUGUUAGUACUGCUCGCAAGAGUGUGGAAAACAUGAUCUCCGGACGGGAGCCGGCCGGGCACGCUGUUGGGUGUCUGAGGGUAUGGCCGUAUGGCUGCCUUCAGUGCCGGCCCCAGUGCACUCCGGUGGAAACCGGGGGUGAUGGGUGGUUGGUCGUUGUUUGAGAACUGCACAGUGGACGCGAGCAU
rnacentral:rRNA from 1 species